rnacentral:rRNA from 1 species
GUGUCAGCCGCCGCGGUAAUACGGAGGGUGCAAGCGUUAUCCGGAUUUACUGGGUUUAAAGGGUGCGUAGGCGGGCCUUUAAGUCAGUGGUGAAAGCUCCGAGCUUAACUCGGAAACUGCCAUUGAUACUAUUGGUCUUGAAUUCGGUCGAGGUUGGCGGAAUGUGUCGUGUAGCGGUGAAAUGCUUAGAUAUGACACAGAACACCGAUUGCGAAGGCAGCUAGCUAGACCGACAUUGACGCUGAGGCACGAAAGCGUGGGGAUCAAACAGGAUUAGAUACCCGUGUAGUCC